GGCCUGAUAGCUCAGGGGUUAAGAGCACUAAAUGUUAUCCAGACAUAGUGAUUGCUGGUUCAAAUCCAGCUCAGGUCA